rnacentral:lncRNA from 1 species
UCCCUAAUAAGGCAGAGGACGGCUGUCCUGUUGGGGACACUGGAGAAGGCAUCAGCUGAGGACACAGCUGUGGAGAAAGAACAGAGUUUGCAGACAGAGAGAUAGAGAGGAGCGUUCGGUAGCCAUCUGCAGGGGGAGACUGCAUUUAUUAAUGGUUACUUUGUAUACUUUUUGUCUCAGUCGCUGUUUCAUUGUUGGGAAGAGACACCAUGGCCAGGGUGUCUGGCCGUGUGCUGCCCUGGACUCCUGCUUGUCUCCAUGACUCCUGGACCUUAUCAUAUGUGAGGCAAACAGACCUGAAGUGACCCACCCGGGGUCACAUAUUUAGAAAGGGGUGAAGACUGGUUCACACACAACCUCUGAGACACAAGAUCUUGCUCGCUUCUACUCCCUGGCUGCGAAGGUAACCUGGGAAGCCCGAUUAGCAACUCUAACUAAGACUUCAAAGUGUGAACUAUAGAAAGAAAGCUGACUAAGCCAGACUGCAGUGAGAGGCUGUCUAGAGAAUAGAAAGAUGGAAGACUGCCUGGAGGAAUGGCCUGCUAGGUGGACUCUCAGAGAGGGAGAUGGGGAGGACAGCUAGGGAGACUUACAAUCAAUCCCCGUGCCUUGAGGGGUAUUCAUAGCAGCUUGAGUGGAUGAAAAAAAAAAUUAAAGAACACAUGAUUGAACUAAAAUAUGCUGCAGGAGCAUGCUAGCUGCCAGAGUGAUUGGUGAGACAUACUGAUGCUGGGACAAAGAAUGAUGCUGAGCUUGCUGAGUGCCCUGACAAUGGUGAUAGGAAAGCUGUAUUGGACAUAUGUUCUUGACCAAACUUUGCUUGCCUGUGUCCCAGAUUGGACAAGCUGCCUUGCUUCAAGCUUUUAGACCUUGUGGGACAGAGAACAUGGAGACUGUGGAAACUGACUUAGAAAAAUUAAUCAAAAGGAGAAGUU